AGGCUUUAUAUGUCCAUUUGUUCCACUGCUUCCGAUCUUCUGCAUUCUGAUCAACAUAUACCUGCUGAUUAAUCUAGGGUGGGUGUUGCAUCACCUGUAUAUUAUAUUACCAUUGAAAAGAAUUAUCAAGUGGAAUAUUGUUGCAUUUCUAAGGAUGUGGGUAUGGGUGUCAAUACUUUAGAUGGGACCUUGGGAAUAUGUUAUCUAUCUAGCUAUUUUCUUACUUCUGCUGUAUUUCUGGAUCAUAUUCAUUUCUUGUUUCUCAUCUUUGGGGCUCUCUCUGGACUUCC
rnacentral:misc_RNA from 1 species